rnacentral:rRNA from 1 species
AGUGAACGCUGGCGGUAGGCCUAACACAUGCAAGUCGAACGGCAGCACAGUAAGAGCUUGCUCUUACGGGUGGCGAGUGGCGGACGGGUGAGGAAUACAUCGGAAUCUACUUUUUCGUGGGGGAUAACGUAGGGAAACUUACGCUAAUACCGCAUACGACCUACGGGUGAAAGCAGGGGAUCUUCGGACCUUGCGCGAUUGAAUGAGCCGAUGUCGGAUUAGCUAGUUGGCGGGGUAAAGGCCCACCAAGGCGACGAUCCGUAGCUGGUCUGAGAGGAUGAUCAGCAACACUGGAACUGAGACACGGUCCAGACUCCGACGGGAGGCAGCAGUGGGGAAUAUUGGACAAUGGGGGCAAGCCUGAUCCAGCCAUACCGCGUGGGUGAAGAAGGCCUUCGGGUUGUAAAGCCCUUUUGUUGGGAAAGAAAAGCAGCAGAUUAAUACCCCGCUGUUCUGACGGUACCCAAAGAAUAAGCACCGGCUAACUUCGUG